ensembl:lncRNA
GAGCCGUUCCCCUCCACGCCUGCGGUCUGACACGCACUGAAUCUUCAGCUAACAAGCUGUUUACACAUUAACGAGCCUGGAUUUACUCACACUCAUACACAUCCCUCGUUCACUUUCACACCGGAGCCAGCCAGUGGUGUCCAGAUGUUUCCUCUGUGGAAGUGAGCGAGCAGGCCUCUCCACGCUGCACCGCGGGGCAAAUAGCUCUGAUUUACUCUCUCCGGAUGUGGCAGGAGCGCCGUGAGGGAGGAAGUGCGAACCGACGAGCCUCUCGCCCGCCGUGCCGCCCGCUGAUAAGACCCAGCGUGGAAAAUUGUAAACAGACCGGACCUGGAAGCGGCACGUUCUCCCGGUUUAACGGAAACCUGCUUGGAAGAACUGCGUCCAGCUCAUGAGCACGUGCAGCGAAAAUUUCAUCGUUUUAACACCAUAAAUACCAUCUCUCUCCUUAAAACACUGGUUUUGACAUGACUGGCGCCCCUCGAUUAAUAUUACAUGAAGCCUACCCUGGAUAUAACACCGGCACCGACCCGCUUCCCGUCACGUCUGACAGCGUCAGAGACACGUGUAGAAGAUCUUUGGACGCGUGACAUCCCGAGAGGCAACUUUUAAGAAAAUAACAGCUCUUCUCCUCCAUGACGUUCUCCUUGACGAUCGGAUCAGCCGCUGACCGGUCGUAGCCAACGAGCCGGGUUUUGACGCAAUCAAAACAAAAACAUAUCUUACCGACAGCUGUGUGGCUCAGUGGUGAGCACAUCUGCCUCACGCCCCCGGGGGGAUGUGGGUUUGAAUCCCGUCUGCGUGCGUGGUGGAGUUUGCAUGUUCUCCUUGUGCUUCGGGGGUUUCCUCCAGGAACCCUUUCACAGACCGGGGAACUUGAGGUGUGUUUAGAGCUCAGGCACUUUCUAAGAAACUUCAGCAGUGUUUCCACUAGAGGAACCCUUUCAGGAACGUAAGGCUUGCCUCCAUAGCUGAAACUUUCUCUGCCGGAACCCUUUGUGGAACUCAAGAACGUUGGGUGCCUAUCCACUGCAGGAACCCU